UGGGGAAUUUUGCGCAAUGGGCGAAAGCCUGACGCAGCAACGCCGCGUGCGGGAUGAAGGCCUUCGGGUUGUAAACCGCUUUCAGCAGGGAUGAAACUGACAGUACCUGCAGAAGAAGCCCCGGCUAACUACGUGCCAGCAGCCGCGGUAAUACGUAGGGGGCAAGCGUUAUCCGGAUUCAUUGGGCGUAAAGAGCGCGUAGGCGGCUUGUUAAGCGAGAUGUGAAAACCGGGGGCUUAACCCGCGGCCUGCAUCUCGAACUGGCAGGCUUGAGUCUGGUAGAGGAGUGUGGAAUUCCCAGUGGAGCGGUGAAAUGCGCAGAUAUUGGGAGGAACACCAGUGGCGAAGGCGGCACUCUGGGCCACGACUGACGCUGAGGCGCGAAAGCUAGGGGAGCAAACA
rnacentral:rRNA from 1 species